UAGAAGGGGGUGCAGUAAAAGAGUCUGUGGUGACUCUUUGGGAAUAGAGUGGUAGCUAAGAGGAAACCUAGUGGGAGAGUAAGCCCUUAUAUCCUUGCCUGACUAGAGAAGGGUGGCAAGUACUCAGGGGAAGUGUAGAGCAGCCACUGGGAGUAGAACAGGUUUCAGUGGUAAGCUCUCAUAAAAGGACAGUAUUUAGAUAUUGGUUUGAAUUUCAGGGGGAAGGCUCUGAGAGUCCCAGGGGGAGGGCUCUGAAAGUCCCAACCUGAGAGAAAGGAAAAUCUAAAGAGGUUCCCAGGGACAAGGCCUGUGAAAGGCUGCAGUAGGUGGAAGCCUAGGAGUGGACUAAAUCAUGACCUAGCUGGAGGGCUGAGCUAUGAGAGAAGAACCACCACAGUGACGGUUAGCAGAAAGGCCCAGAUUGGGAGACAGCUGCCAGCCCAGCCACAAGGAGGUGCUCUAGCAAAACCUGACAGAGCUCUUUAUGAGCAUUACUGAAAGUUUAAUUUGGGAAGAGGAGACAUGAGAAAUGGGUAAGCAAGAGAGGAGAAAGCAACAGUAAAAGUCAAGAAGCAACCCAGCUGUGGAAACUUUUGGCACUGACAAGUAUAAAGAGGAAACAACAAACAGGGUGCAUAAGCCCCAGAAGAUAGUUCUUGAUGCUAAUAAAGUAUGAAACUACUGC